CUACGCGACGGUGAGUAAUGCUAGAAUCUGCCUAUUAGUGGGACAACAUUUCGAAAGGAAUGCUAAUACCGCAUACGUCCUACGGGAGAAAGCAGGGGAUCUNCCUUGCGCUAAUAGAUGAGCCUAAGUCGGAUUAGCUAGUUGGUGGGGUAAAGGCCUACCAAGCGACGAUCGA
rnacentral:rRNA from 1 species